ACUGCAGUGAUGAGUUGUUAACAUGUUAAAAGUGUUACUAUGUGUAACUUCUUUGAUGAAAUAUUCUUGUUACGCUUGGCUUCUGAGCAGU